AGUUUCCAAAGGUAUAAAAUAUGUCAGGCUGAAUUGUUGGGUUUAAUGAUAAUAAACUGUGCGCAAAAGAUCCUUUCUGCGCACCAGCUGUUUCCAUGUGUGUGGGGGCUCCUUAAUAAAGGCUAAUAUGUUUAUUUGUUUUUUUAAGUGUAGUUAAGUCUUAAGGGGGAAUUUAAGAGGGAAACCAAGAGGUUAUGACACAGACUGGUGUUUUUAUUACACGGUCUAACAUUAGACAAUGACUGAAUGAAAAGAGUUAUUAAGAUGUUGUGACGUUUCAUCAGUAACGUUUGUGAACAGUUAUGAUCAACUGAGAAACACAAAAUUGUUAUAUCUUACCUCAAAGUCAAACUGAAAUUUGGCGAAUAUGGUCAAAACGGCUUGUUCCUUAAAAAAUAUAAGCGAUUCGUACAGUAUUCAGUUCUGUUCGUGCGGUUAGACAUGACCCAGCAAAGCUGCAUUUAAACGGACCGAGUGCAGAUGAACGGUCACCUGUGUGUUGUAGUUGCAGGUCAGUUUAUGUAGCCGCAGGUGGUGUCGCACGUCAUAACGCGUUGACGUCACAAAUGACAUUUUUUUUUGGCGUCACAAAGGAAUCGAAUUCUGCCAGACAUCAAAGCAGCUCAAAGUGAGAAAUCACGCACACGGAGCGACACGCAAACUUUAGUUUGUUUAAACGACUGCGAAGAGCUGCCUCCUCAUCACGCCUCGGGAAAUGCGCAAAGUCAAGAGAGAGAGGCGCACAGACAAUCCAUCCUUCAGACAGAUGAUCUCUUUCAGCCUGUCUGUGAAGGCACAAGCCCUGAGAGGCAGACUGUGCUUUAACUGGAACAAACUCCUGAGCAGCACCACCAGCAGGAUGCUAAAGGCAACUACCAGCCUGACUGGCGGGACCUUCACCUGGCUGGAAAACCACAUCAACCAGAACAGGACGGGUUAUGUCAGAAGGUGGGAGCACAAAAUCAUGACCAGACAGUUUCACGCUGCACUGAAAACCUCCUACAAGCUCAACAAAAUCUCUAAAAAGGAGAUGAAGGAGGCCAAGAGGAAGUGGAAACAGGCCAUUAAGAAGGUAAAAGAGGAGGACAAGAGGAGGAAAAAGCUGUGGUCAGAACAAAUCUGUGUGCCAGAGUCAAAUCAAUAACAAGAGAAAAUAGGAAAUAGGAAAGUGGAGGAGGAGAAAACAGAAAGCAUAGAAUAAAACUUGAUGAAAACAACUUGAAAACAGAAAUUUGUUGAUGCUGAGCGGAUGAUUGUGAAGCUACACGGUGCUUUAGAAGAAAAGACUUUAGGCAGACUGAGUGGACAGAAAGCAGAGCUCUGCUGGGCCUCAGCUGUGUGUUUGUUCAGUCUGCCAGUGACUCAAGUCCCAUCUGGAGCAAACAGAUCUGAAAAUGCCUGAAUGUUCUUCAGUGAAAGAAACGAUCCAGAAUGCAGAUAAUUUAAGCCUCAGGAGUCUCAGUCUGUUCAGCUUUGGAGGAAAUGAGGACUGAAGGAAUCCUGAUGCUCCAAACUGACAGCAGAGACCUGAAGAGGAAACAGAAACACUCUGCAGGUUCAUAGUCAACGCUACGUUUGCCUCAAGCUACCAAAAACAACCAGCAUUUUUCUGUCUGUGUUUUCCUGAAAAUAAACUCUUUACUACAUUGUUACAUUGUUAGAUACACAGUAGCUUUUUCAAAUUAGUUGAACAUGCAGGGAGGAUGCACAAGAAACAGAUGUAAAAAAGAAUGGUCAAAAAUCAGAGCAGCAGAGACAGAAAUACCCUGAUUUAUAGCCAAUAAUAUGGCUGAAGCGUCAAAAACACAGAAUGCUUCACUUUUGCACAUCUUUCGUUAGACCCUGCCUGUUAAAUGCUCACAUCUUUUAAACUCCACAGCACCAGUUUGUUACACAGGCUUUCUGUUAACCAGCCGGCAGUCUGCAGCCAUGGUAGCGGCUCUGUGAGGUUGUAAUGCUAACAUGCCCACAAUGACAAUGCUGAUGACAUGCUGAUGUUCAGCAGGUAUAAAGUUUACCUUGUUCACUAUCUCAGUAUGCUUACAUUUGCUAAGACUGCAAUUACAGUGGUUUCCUGAUUACUUAAAAUGCUAUCCAUGAGUUCUGAGUUUAUCAUUUAAACCUCCAUCUUCAUACAAAGUGUGAGUUCCAACAACAUGUGACUGCAGUGUUACUAAAUCAGACAGACCAGCAUUGUUUAGCAUCAUGUAGUGUUCAGACGAGUGUUAAAAGGCAAAAGCAGUGACCUAGUACAGUUUAAAAAUCUCACAAAUGUCUGUUGUCUUUUCAUGCACAACGGUUUCAAGAGUUUAUAGAGAGCGUUGUAAAAAAAUAUAUAUAUAUAUAUUUUUUUGUUAAGCUGGCACCAGAUCAUCAAAGCCAGCCUCUGUUUUACAACUCUUUCCAACUUUCUAUCUCCCUCCACUUAAAAUGCUAGAAGGACAAUGUGAGUGUCAUGGUGGGGGAGGAUAAACACAAACCAGAGAGAUAUUUCGCAACCUGGCAACCCAAAAGUUCUUAUUACUAAUGACUUAUAACUUAUGUAUAGGGCUUUAAUAAAUUUUUAAACAUUAAUAAAGCUGUUAGUUACAACUUAUAAAACCUUUAUAAAUGAUGCCUUAUUAGAAACUGGUUACAUUUUAAACCUGCAAUAAUUACUUUUUUUGCCACUUGGGGGCAGCGGAAAGAAGUUGUGAACACAACAUCGACAUAUCAUCACCUUUUAAGUUGAUAUGGUGAACUUGUUAUCAAACAUAUUGGUUGCAUAUUUAUCCAGCAUCCAGCAGUUAGGGAGCAACAUAAACAUUCAUUUGGAGACGUGUUUGUGUCCACCUGAUGAAUGUGAGUCCAAUUUUCACUCUUUUACCUCUGUUUUUGGUCUCCACCAACUCCUGAUGGGAAUAUUUGGCUCUUUAUCGGCUAAAUGCUCCACUAUGUUCACCAGCUGCUCUCUAACUGUGUCUGUCUGCUGUUUGCUGCUGAGCAGGUAGUGUACAGUGUCUUUUUAGAGCUUUCUCACUGAAAAUAGCUGCUACUGCAACUGAAAUUGACGCCUUGAGAGCGGUGAGAGUGAACCAAAACAGUAAAGUUGUGGACUGGACAGAUAAACAAUGAGCUGAAACUCUCAAUAAAGCUCUGUAAAGCCGAGGGGAGCUGCAGAUUCAGCUGGUAAUCUACAGCCAUGCUAGUGGCUCACUGAGACUAUAUGUCUGUGGACUCGGGGAAGACAACUGUGGUCCCAGGUUGACCUUUCCAGUCAGAGAACUACAUACAAGAGUAAAGUGCUGAAUUUCGGGACAUCAAUUACAAGAUUAAUCACUAAUAGAAAUAAAUAAAUCACUGAUAUAAAUACAACAACCUUAUGUAAACAACAUUGCCGGCAAUGUCACCAUAAACAAACAAAUCAAAAUGUCAUCAUCGACAAACAAAAAUCGCCACUGUUAGCCAGCAUCGUGAGACAUUGUCACAACCAUCAACAACAUUAUCAUUGCCACCAUCCUCAUCAUCAAGAAACAACACCACCACUACUACCUACCCCUCUGGCCUGAGUUCAGAAGGGAAAUGGCGAUGGGAAUGAAUGAGUGCCUGUAUCUAAUGUGCUUACAGGGGGAAAUCUGAACCGGGAGCCAUAAGGUAGGAUCUGAAACUCAGAAUGAAGGGGGUGGUUGCUGACUGAUAGGAUGGAUUUAGCCUUCCGCACUACCUUACUGUUGUACAGGUCAGUGAGGUUACUUUGCUGGACACCUAAUUUAACUUCUGACUUUCACUAUUUGGAAAGAGCAGUUUUGGCCUUGACAAUGAGAUUGCCAUACUAGCAGACCACACAAAAUGUUAAUAUAGAGUCAAUGUAAGAUUUGUAAAAGAGGGUCAUGAGGGUCUUAUUCACAUGAAAAAUUGACAGUUUGCAAAAAGAGCCAGCAACGACUGUUCUGUCUUUGUAAAGCAUCUCUGUGUUGGAAUUAAAAUUCAAUUUAUUGUCAAUUAAGCUACCAAGGUACUUGUAUGUUUCUACAACUUCUACCACCUGCCCCUUGAUGGUAGUGCUCUGAGGAGCGGAGGGCUUGCACCUUGUUUAGUGUGUUGCCAUACAAACAUUUGCUAAUUAGCACUAAACACAAAGUACAGCUGAGGCUGAUGAGAAUGUCAUUGCAGGUAUUUGGUCAUAAACCAGGUUUACGUAUUGGACAAACUACAGUUUUAAGCCAAUAUGGGGCUAGAGGAAAUGUCAGGGGAUCACCAAAGUUAUCACGAUUCAUCCUCGGGGCACCACAAAUGUCUAAAUUUCAUGGCAAUCCAUCCAAUAGUUGUUGAGACAUUUCAGUCUGGACCAAAGAGGGACACCAGCGGACCUAUAAUAACCUUGAUGACAUCACUCCAGUUAUUUUCUUAGACUUGACAGAGCUCCUCCAGGGCAACAGAAGACAUUAUACAACUGUUUUCACAGACUCAUGACUAGUAAAUUGGCAUGUAAAAUUAGUGGAGCACCCUUUCCAUUGCUAUACCUUAAAAGCCCCAUAAAAUGUCCAUCAAUGUAAAUGUGUUAAGUCAUGUGUGUAAUUAUAGCACAUUUGGGUUUUGAAAUUGAGUGUAAGCGAACCAUUUUGCAGGAAGGGCACUGACAGACGCAGGUGGUUUUAUUUGUUGUCAGUUUGCCAGAGAAACUGCUUUUACCAGUUCAGUAAAUAUUUCUGAGCAUAAAUCUAACUGGUGGGUCGAUACAUCAGCGAUUGUAAAAACAAUAUCUUGUUAAUGCCUCCAUAAUAAUUUAGAGAGCAUGCUUGGUGGGAGAAAACUGUAACCUCAAAAGGUUUAUGGCUGUAAAAAGCAGUAAAAAAAGCCACAAAGAAUAUAAUGGCUACAAUUUGGUGUCACAUUGCUUGUCAGGCAUUUAAACUACAAAUCUGAAAAGAAUGUUUUUCAGGAAGAAGAGCAUUCGCUUUUUCAUUGAUAUCCAUGAGUUCUGAGUUUAUCAUUUAAACCUUCAUACAAAGUGUGAGUUCCAACAACAUGUGACUGCAGUGUUACUAAAUCAGACAGACCAGCAUUGUUUAGCAUCAUGUAGUGUUCAGAUGAGUGUUAAAAAGGCAAAAGCAGUGACCUAGUACAGUUUAAAAAUCUCACAAAUGUCUGUUGUCUUUUCAUGCACAACGGUUUCAAGAGUUUAGAGAGCGUUGUAAAAAAUAUAUAUAUAAUUUUUUUUUUUGUUAAGCUGGCACCAGAUCAUCAAAGCCAGCCUCUGUUUUACAACUCUUUCCAACUUUCUAUCUCCCUCCAACUUUCCAACUACCUUCUCUAUGCACCUUGCAGUUGAAAUUGUGCAAGAAACAAAAAAAAGAAAUCAUUUUUGAAAAAUUUUGACUUAUUGACUGAUGAGUGAUCUCAGAGCACCUUCAUUUGCGAGUGUCCUCAUCAGAAACCACAUCUACUUUCCUACCAACAGUCAACACAGAUGUUUUUUAACCAUAGCCACCAUACUUCCUGAACUUUAACCAAGUUGUUUUAGUUGACUUAACCCACCUGAAUCAUAAAGGUGGCAGCAGAAAACACAUCGAUAAUAUCAAUCUUCUUUUUAACAGGCAUUUGUAAUGGUUUUGGUAGCCACUGACUAAUGAUGAUAGUCAGUGUCCAGUCUCCUGUUGACAGAGGCGCCAGAUCACAAAAUGUUCUUUUGGGUCGUUUCACAAAAGACACAUUUUGUCAUUAAGUUUGGAGGACCUGACCAAACUGAUUCAGGAUUUAAUAAACAAUUAAUCCAAUUAACUCUGAAAACACAGUCAACAUCCCUAAAAUAAAGCAUGAUGAAUCCCUUAAACACUGCAAUUUUUAAGAUGCUGUUGCUUAUUUAAAAAAGUUUUUAAAAACUGUUAGAAGUAGAAUACUCUCUUCUUUCCUUUAAUUCUGUUUACAG